rnacentral:rRNA from 1 species
CCUACGGGAGGCAGCAGUGGGGAAUACUGCACAAUGGGGGAAACCCUGAUGCAGCAACGCCGCGUGAGUGAUGACGGUCUUCGGAUUGUAAAGCUCUGUCUUCAGGGACGAUAAUGACGGUACCUGAGGAGGAAGCCACGGCUAACUACGUGCCAGCAGCCGCGGUAAU